ACUGACGUUUCAUUGUGUUUGAAAUUUUCACGCUUCAAACAAGUCGCUCUGUUUCUGCUGCUACUUUUUCAUUUAUAAUCAGUUAAUUUGCCAAUAAACGCAGAAAAUUUGGCGAAAAUGUGAAAAAAGCUUGCUGCUCUUCCCGCUGGCCCUGCGGAAGGCUAAUUUGGCUGAGAUUUUACAAGUUAGCCAUCUCCUAGUGGACUGAAUCAACUGGAACCGGCCCUCAAUGUUCUCCGCCGUGAAAUCAUUUUGUUUCUUCGAAACAGGUUCAUCAAUCAACUCGGGAGUGCGAGAGCUCGAGCCUCGUUGCCGAGCCAUGGAUGGCGCCGCGAAAGUUCUCAAUCCAGGUUUUUAAACGAAGAUGGCGUUCGAAUGGUGAACGCCCGAAAUGUCAAAAUCGCGCAGUAGCACCAACAUUAGAAAAAAAAAUGUUGCUGUCAUGCCAUGGCACACUUUUUGCGUAAUUUUGGUACCACUGCGUGAUUUUGACAUUUCGGGCGUUCACCAUUCGAACGCCAUCUUCGCUUAAAAACCUGGAUUCUUGAAUGUUCCGCCCUGAAGGAUGCCCAACACAGGAAUAGAAAAUAAUUUGGAAAUAAAUAAUGCUGUGUGGAAACGCG